rfam:Triticum aestivum genome assembly, contig: Triticum_aestivum_CS42_TGACv1_scaffold_130904_2BL
AUAGUACUCCCUCCGUUCGGAAUUACUUGUCGCAGAAAUGGAUGUAUCUAGACGUAUUUUAGUUCUAGAUACAGCCAUUUCCGAGACAAGUAAUUCCGAACGGAGGGAGUACAAU